GCCUCCGUAGCUCAAUUGGCGGAGCGGCGGUCUUGUAAACCGAUGGUUGCAGGUUCAAGUCCUGUCGGAGGCUCCA
rnacentral:tRNA from 1 species